rnacentral:lncRNA from 1 species
GCCCCUGCUGCCUUAAUGGGCAUUACAGAAUGGUAGGAACCGACCCAUGAGUCUAUCUGUACCCAGUCUGUGCCCGCUGCCUGGUUGCCUGGUGGGGUAAUCCCCACAGAGCUUAAAGCAUGGGAGACAAUGCCAACUCCGAGCAUGUGUGACAUUCUGGUGGCAGAGCCUCGCAGUACCACACACACACACACACAAAUACAACCCCCCCCCCCCCCCCCCCCCCCCCCCCCCCAAGACACACACACACCCCACCCUGAUCUCACCGCCUGGCUCCAUCGCUGCCUGGCAUUGCUGUCAUGCCAUGAGGGGUAGUGUGGUCAGACGAUGUCAUUGCUUUGUUUGUUUGUUUGAGUGCGUGUGCGCGCGUGUGUGUGUGUGUGCGUGCGUGCGUGCGUGCGUGUGUGUGUGUGAGAGAGACACAGAUCGAGACAGACAGUGCUAUAGGCAGUGUUGCAUAUGUAAAAGAGACAGAUAGAAACAUGAGUUUGGAGUUUCAGAGGCAGGGUUGAACAGCACAAGGAACCAGAGUGUGGCGGACAGGUAGAGGAAUGAUCUCAUGUUUUCAGAGACAGCGAGAUGGUGUGUUUAGAAGCGAUGUUGCGUCGUGUGAGACAGCGAGAUGGUGUGUUUAGAGACGAUGUUGCGUCGUGUGAGAGGAAGAGAUGGUGUGUUUAUAGACGAGAUGGUGUGUUUAUAGACGAUGUUGAGUCGUGUGAGACAGCGAGAUGGUGUGUUUAGAGACGAUGUUGAGUGGUGUGAGAGGGAGAGAGGUGUUUAGAGACGAUGUUGAGUGGUGUGAGAGGGAGAGAGGUGUUUAGAGACGAUGUUGAGUGGUGUGAGAGGUGUUUAGAGACGAUGCUGUGUGGUGUGAGAGGGAGAGAGGUGUUUAGAGACGAUGUUGAGUGGUGUGAGAGGUGUUUAGAGACGAUGUUGUGUGGUGUGAGAGGGAGAGAGGUGUUUAGAGACGAUGUUGAGUGGUGUGAGAGGGAGAGCGGUGUUUAGAGACGAUGCUGUGUGGUGUGAGAGGUGUUUAGAGACGAUGUUGUGUGGUGUGAGAGGUGUUUAGAGACGAUGUUGUGUGGUGUGAGAGGGAGAUGGUGUGUUUAGAGACGAUGCUGUGUGGUGUGAGAGGUGUUUAGAGACGAUGUUGUGUGGUGUGAGAGGUGUUUAGAGACGAUGUUGAGUGGUGUGAGAGGGAGAGAGGUGUUUAGAGACGAUGUUGUGUGGUGUGAGAGGGAGAGAGGUGUUUAGAGACGAUGUUGAGUGGUGUGUGAGGUGUUUAGAGACGAUGUUGUGUGGUGUGAGAGGUGUUUAGAGACGAUGCUGUGUGGUGUGAGAGGGAGAGAGGUGUUUAGAGACGAUGUUGUGUGGUGUGAGAGGGAGAGAGGUGUUUAGAGACGAUGCUGUGUGGUGUGAGAGGUGUUUAGAGACGAUGUUGAGUGGUGUGAGAGGGAGAGAGGUGUUUAGAGACGAUGUUGUGUGGUGUGAGAGGUGUUUAGAGACGAUGUUGUGUGGUGUGAGAGGUGUUUAGAGACGAUGCUGUGUGGUGUGAGAGGGAGAGAGGUGUUUAGAGACGGUGCUGAGUGGUGUGAGAGGGAGAGAGGUGUUUAGAGACGAUGUUGAGUGGUGUGAGAGGGAGAUGGUGUGUUUAGAGACGAUGUUGAGUGGUGUGAGAGGGAGAGAGGUGUUUAGAGACGGUGCUGAGUGGUGUGAGAGGGAGAGAGGUGUUUAGAGACGAUGUUGAGUGGUGUGAGAGGUGUUUAGAGACGAUGUUGAGUGGUGUGAGAGGGAGAGAGGUGUUUAGAGACGAUGUUGAGUGGUGUG